rnacentral:lncRNA from 1 species
AAAUGGAGAACAGCUGCUCACGCUCGUCGUCUGACAUCAGCUAUUUCUCAGGAUGACCCUGCGAGACAGGCCAGGGUCAUUAGACCCAAUUUGGUUCUCAGCAAAUAUGUGUUUAUUCCUGCAUGCGUGGGCCACAGGCUGGUUUCUUGGGUGCAAUGAAUAGCUGCAGGUUUAUUAGGGUGUCUUUUUAGAUGGAUGUAUGUUUCCCGAUGUCUAUAGAACACUCCGGACCCCGGAGAGUGAAGACUCUGCCUGUCGGACUUGCUUUGAGAAGAUCCUUCUCCACCUCCCCAUGGCAGAAGUUGCUUCACAGAGGGGAACAGUUUUAUGGAUGUGGCUGAGACCUUAAACUUGAGGCAACCCAUCUGAGGUGGCAUCCAGAGGAGACUGGCUGGCCCCUCCUUCACCUUGGAUGUAGUGCUGUUUCUAGGAUCUCUUUUCAAUCAGCAAAACAGGGGAUGUUCCAAGAGGGUGUGGAUUCCCUGCCAUCCCACAUGGUCAAGUGGAGGGGACGGGAAAAAGCUAUGAAGGGUUUGUGACCACACAGACUCUCCUGGCCCCCUGUCCUUUUGGAAAGAAGACAGGGAUGAAAUAUAAUCAAGCAAUUAACCACCCCCAUCAUCACCAAGAACAACAGUAUCAACAAGAAGAACAGGGACAACAAAACCCACGGAUGAAACAUUCCUUUCUCAGCUCAGAUCUUAUCUGGUGCGUUCUCUCUCUGCUCUGUCUUGGUGUGUGGUUUAGAGAAACAUGGACAACGCUGUUUGGAAGAACAGUCUGUUCCAGGGAAACAGCUGGAUUCAGACUGAACUGGCAGACACUGCACGUGUUCUACAGAGAAGAAAGAGGAUGAUGGUAAAGCAGACUGCAGUCUUCAGGCCUGGAGCAGAGAAGGGAGAGUUCCUGCUCUAGUAGAGAAAAGAUUUUGCCACGUUGGCUAGGCUGCUCUGGAACUCUUGACCUCAGGUGAUCUGCCUGCCACCCAACCUACUGGGAUUACAGUAGCCAGUCCUGCCAGGGUUCUGGCUGUGCCGGGACAGUGAAUGGCCACUCCGUCCCAGAUGAGCUGCAGGAAGCGUUUCGAUGUCAUGUGGAGGAGCCGCCGAGUGAUUGAUGGGCCCCAGCUUGAAUGGAAAGUCCAGAUUCCAGCAACACAGCUUAAGAGAUGAAGGUUGCUUGAGCAGGAAAUCCACCCAUGGCCCAAAGAGGAAAGAUCCGCUUUAAAUGCCUGGGCAUAUACUUCCAAGAACCAGAUGUGGCCUGUUCCUUACACCUCCCUGGGCUUAGAUGACAGCUUGAACUCUGCGGCUGAUGGAAUUGAGCAGAUGGGAAUGACCUGGAAUCUAACACUCUACAAUUCAGACACACCACUGUCCACUUGUCCCUCCCUUCCUGCCACUGGCCCUGCCAGCGUACCUUGUGUACUUCGCAAAGGUCACUGGCUCCUGUUUUAUGUAAUGACUGACAGACGAUCUCGCCCAGCUCAGCAAUGUGAACAGACACCUUGCAUGGUGCCGGUGGUGGGUGCGGUUGUUUCUGGAUGUCAUGGAAGAGGCUGGGGCAUACCAGGGCUUUCCCCAAUUGUGCCUAAAAUAAAUUGGCUCUUGGGAGGUU